rnacentral:rRNA from 1 species
UACGUAGGUGGCAAGCGUUAUCCGGAAUUAUUGGGCGUAAAGAGCGCGCAGGUGGUUAAUUAAGUCUGAUGUGAAAGCCCACGGCUUAACCGUGGAGGGUCAUUGGAAACUGGUUGACUUGAGUGCAGAAGAGGGAAGUGGAAUUCCAUGUGUAGCGGUGAAAUGCGUAGAGAUAUGGAGGAACACCAGUGGCGAAGGCGGCUUCCUGGUCUGCAACUGACACUGAGGCGCGAAAGCGUGGGGAGCAAAUAGG